AUGAACGCUGGCGGCGUGCCUAAUACAUGCAAGUCGAGCGAACAGAUGAGGAGCUUGCUCCUCUGACGUUAGCGGCGGACGGGUGAGUAACACGUGGAUAACCUACCUAUAAGACUGGGAUAACUUCGGGAAACCGGAGCUAAUACCAGAUAAUAUAUUGAACCGCAUGGUUCAAUAGUGAAAGACGGUUUUGCUGUCACUUAUAGAUGGAUCCGCGCCGCAUUAGCUAGUUGGUAAGGUAACGGCUUACCAAGGCAACGAUGCGUAGCCGACCUGAGAGGGUGAUCGGCAACAAUGGAACUGAGACACGGUCAAGACUCCUACGGGAGGCAGCAGUAGGGAAUCUUCCGCAAUGGGCGAAAGCCUGACGGAGCAACGCCGCGUGAGUGAUGAAGGUCUUCGGAUCGUAAAACUCUGUUAUUAGGGAAGAACAAAUGUGUAAGUAACUAUGCACGUCUUGACGGUACCUAAUCAGAAAGCCACGGCUAACUACGUG
rnacentral:rRNA from 1 species